rnacentral:rRNA from 1 species
GAAUAUUGGACAAUGGGGGCAACCCUGAUCCAGCCAUGCCGCGUGUGUGAAGAAGGCCUUUUGGUUGUAAAGCACUUUAAGCAGUGAAGAAGACGCCAUGGUUAAUACCCAUGGACGCUGACAUUAUCUGCAGAAUAAUCACCGGCUAACCAAGGUCCAGCAGCCGCCGUAAUACAGAGGGUGCAAGCGUUAAUCGGCAUUACUGUGCGUAAAGCGAGCGUAGGUGGCGUGAUAAGUCAGAUGUGAAAUCCCCGGGCUUAACCUGGGAACUGCAUCUGAUACUGUUAGGCUAGAAUAGGUGAGAGGAAGGUAGAAUUCCAGGUGUAGCGGUGAAAUGCGUAGAGAUCUGGAGGAAUACCGAUGGCGAAGGCAGCCUUCUGGCAUCAUAUUGACACUGAGGUUCGAAAGCGUGGGUAGCAAAC